rnacentral:tRNA from 1 species
AGCGAAUUAGGAUAAAUAUAAGUCUUAGUAAUUCAUGAUUAUUAGGUUUGUUCGUUA